rnacentral:rRNA from 1 species
UACAGAGGGUGCGAGCGUUAAUCGGAAUUACUGGGCGUAAAGCGCGCGCAGGCGGUCGCGUAAGUCUGCUGUGAAAUCUCCCUGGCUCAACCGGGAGGGGCGGCGGAGACUGCGGGACUGGAGGGACCUAGAGGCCGGUGGAAUUCCCGGUGUAGUGGUGAAAUGCGUAGAGAUCGGGAGGAACACCUGUGGCGAAGGCGGCCGGCUGGGGGUGCCCUGACGCUGAGACGCGAAAGCGUGGGGAGCGAACAGG